rnacentral:rRNA from 1 species
UACGGGGGGGGCAAGCGUUGUUCGGAAUUACUGGGCGUAAAGGGCUCGUAGGCGGCCAACUAAGUCAGACGUGAAAUCCCUCGGCUUAACCGGGGAACUGCGUCUGAUACUGGAUGGCUUGAGUUUGGGAGAGGGAUGCGGAAUUCCAGGUGUAGCGGUGAAAUGCGUAGAUAUCUGGAGGAGCACCGGUGGCGCAGGCGGCAUCCUGGACCAACACUGACACUGAGGAGCGAAAGCCAGGGGAGCAAACGGG